rnacentral:rRNA from 1 species
GACGAACGCUGGCGGCGUGCUUAACACAUGCAAGUCGAACGGAAAGGCCCUGCUUUUGUGGGGUGCUCGAGUGGCGAACGGGUGAGUAACACGUGAGUAACCUGCCCUUGACUUUGGGAUAACUUCAGGAAACUGGGGCUAAUACCGGAUAGGAGCUCCUGCUGCAUGGUGGGGGUUGGAAAGUUUCGGCGGUUGGGGAUGGACUCGCGGCUUAUCAGCUUGUUGGUGGGGUAGUGGCUUACCAAGGCUUUGACGGGUAGCCGGCCUGAGAGGGUGACCGGCCACAUUGGGACUGAGAUACGGCCCAGACUCCAACGGGAGGCAGCAGUGGGGAAUAUUGCACAAUGGGCGGAAGCCUGAUGCAGCAACGCCGCGUGCGGGAUGACGGCCUUCGGGUUGUAAACCGCUUUCGCCUGUGACGAAGCGUGAAUGACGGUAAUGGGUAAAGAAGCACCGGCUAACUACGUG